rnacentral:lncRNA from 1 species
GUUUAUCAUCCACUUAUUCUUGGAAGUUAUUCACUUAUUGAGUAUUCUGAUCUAUGCAGAUACCUACCCUGCGAGGCUCUUCGCACCAACAUUCAUGGUGAGAGAAGGGGGUAAUAUAGAUUUUAAAUGUAGCAUUGUCGGCCUGGAACAACACUGGGUCGAGGUUCACGUUUACCUUUGCAAGAAUGGAGUUGGGAUAAGAAUGACAGUUCUGGAGAAAGGUGAAGAUGACACCAGUUUCACCAUGAAGGAUGUUACAAAUGAAGACUCAGGCAACUACAGCUGUGUGUACACCAGAGAUAAACUUCUACUGGAUCAAGUGAAGUCAACAGACGAGGAUUUACUAGUCAUCCAGGUCUAUGGGGAAGAAAAGAUCUUCCCCGCAAAGCUCUAUGGACCAUCUAAUGUGACUCAAGGAUGGACUGUAGAUUUGAAAUGUAUCACUACUGGCAUCCCAAGAAACUGGGACAAGGUUAAUGUUUACCUCUGCAAGAAUGGAUUUGGGAUAAGAAUUGCGGCAUUGGAGAAAGGUGAAAAUGACACCAUUUUCACCAUGAAAGAUGUUACAAGAGAGGACUCAGGCAACUACAUCUGUGUGUACACCAGAGAUAAACUCAUACCCAGUCAGGUGAACUCAACAGGGGAUUAUCUAGUCUUUCAGGUUUAUGGAGAUGGAGAUGUGGAAGGUAAGAUUCUGACAAUGUUUGUGUCGAUUGUAUAAUGUAUGUUUAUAUUGAUUAAAUGCGUAGAUUGCUAUACUAUUAUAUUUGUCAAUUUGUUUCAGUGCAGUUGUUUUUGCCAAUAUAUUGCUUUGUAAAAAAGGGCUAUAUGUACGCUGAUGCGUACAUUGUCUUACGUUAGAUAGAACGGCAAUUCUGCCUGCACUGAUCUAUCUUGUAUCUCACAAAGGGUAAUGGGAUAGAUCAAAAGUGCUGUAGUUCAGCUACAAUGUGCUGUCUAACAUUCAAAAAUAUUAUCUAGGUGACAUCGUCUGCUGAACCCCAUUUCUGCCUCAUAACAGUCUGAAUUAAACAAAGAAAAAACAAUCAGUCCAUCAUUUUGCCGUUUUUUUUUUGGUGAGGAAGUCUGGUGAGGAAGUCUUAGUUGCCCCAUUUUACAAAGCAGUCUUUCUCAAGUUUGACAAUAAAGCUAGAAUAAAUAGGCCAGCAGCACACAACCAUGCAUCCCCCUGCUGGCUUGCUUCUGAAGCUAAGCAGGGUUGGUUCUGAUCAGUCUCUGGAUGGAAGACCAGAUGCUGCUAAAAAAAAUAUCCCAAUUCCCCAGGGCAGUGAUUGGGUCAUUUCCCUGUGUAGGGUGCUGUCUUUUGGGUGGGAUGUUAAAG